AGUGAUGCCCUUAGAUUUAACGAAUGCCCCAGCAGUUUUCAUGGACCUAAUGAACAGAGUUUUCCAUCAGUAUCUCGAUAGUUUUGUCUUAGUGUUUAUCGACGACAUCCUCGUAUACUCUAAGACCGAAGAACAACAUGAAGAGCACUUAUGCAUCGUACUCAAAACCCUGCGCAAUGAGAAAUGGUUUACCAAAUUCAACAAGUGUGAAUUUUGGUUAAAGGAAGUUAUGUUUCUCGGUCACAUAGUGUCGACUGAAGGAAUCAAAGUAGACCCCGCCAAGGUCGAAGCAGUCAAUGAAUGGAAGGCACCAUCAAAUGUCAAUAAGAUCAGUAGUUUUCUCGGUCCAGCAGGUUACAAUAUAAGGUUCAUCGAAAGAUUCUCGAAAUUGGCUAGGCCAAUGACUCGACUUUUAAGAAAAGGGACUAAGUAUGUUUGGUCCGAAGCUUGUAAACAAAGUUUUAAGUAGCACAAGACUAGGCUGACUACUGCACCAGUGUUAGCAAUACCAGAAGAGAAUGAAGAAUUUGAGGUGUACACUGAAGCCUCGAAACUAGGAUUGGGUUGCAUGUUGAUGCAAAAUCAAAAAAAAUGAUAGCAUACACGUCUCGUCAAUUGAAGCCCCAUGAGCUGAACUACCCGAUUCAUGAUUUAGAACUAGCAGCCGUCGUGCACGCGCUGAAGAUUUGGAGACACUACCUCUAUGGAGUUAAGUGUGAGAUCUUUACAGAUCAUAAGAGUUUGAAAUACUUCUUCGAGCAAAAGGAUUUGAACAUGAGACAACGAAGAUGGCUCGAAUUAGUAAAGGAUUACGAUUGCACCAUCAGUUACUAUCCAGGAAAAGCGAAUGUAGUAGCUGACGCCCUGAGUCGAAAGACGAAGGCUAAGCUAGGGUAUUUCAUUACUCAACAUAAGGAGCUGAUUCGUGAGUUCGCCUCACUCAGUUUAGAGAUUGUUUAUUCCCCAGAUUCAGUAUCGGGUUAUGUAGCUGCACUGACAGCUAAACCUGAUUUGAGAGAAAGAAUUGUGCAAAGCACAAAGAGAAGAUUGGUUCUUGGAGAAGAUGCGUCUCGCUGCAAGAACGAAUGAAACGAAAGGAUUCACUGAAGCAAAUGAUAACGCACUUAUGGUUGGUGAAAGAUUGUGUGUGCCACAUAAAGAAGAAUUAAAGAACGAGAUUAUGAGCAAGGCUCAUGAUACUCCUUACACUGCACAUCCAGGCAGUACAAAGAUGCACUAGAAUUUAAAGAAAAUUUUCUGGUAAACAAGAAUGAAAAGAGAUAUAGCGUCAUAGUAGACCGAUUAUCAAAGUCAGCGCACUUUCUACCAAUUCAAAUGACAUUUGGAUUGGAGAAACUUGCAAAGUUAUAUGUCAAAGAGAUAGUACGCCUUCACGGUGUACCUGUAUCUAUCACGACAAAUUGUGACACCAGAUUCACAUGGCGUUUCUGGAAAAGUUUACAAGAAGCCAUGGGCACACAGCUGAACUUCAGCAUAGCGUACCACCCCCAGACUGACGGGCAGUCAGAAAGAACGAUUCAGAUCCUAGAAGAUAUGCUGCGAACGAUUGUCGCAGACAAAGGUGGAAGUUGGGAGGAUUUGUUACCUCUUGUAGAAUUUGCUUAUAACAACAGUUAUCAAGCAACUAUUGGAAUGGCUCCAUAUGAGGCUUUAUACAGCCGAAAAUGUAGUUCACCACUUUACUAAGAUGAAGUGGGUGAAAGAAAGCUGUUAGGUCCUGAACUGGUCCAACAGAUGGUUGAGAAGGUCGACCACAUCAAGCAAAGAAUCAAAGAAGCUCUAGAUAGACAAAAGUCUUACGCCGAUAAACGCCGAUCGGAGUUAGAAUUCAAUGUUGGGGAUCAAGUUUUCCUCAAAGUUUCUCCCUUAAAGGGAGUUAUACGUUUCAGAAAGAGGGGCAAGUUACGACCCCGUUAUAUAGGACCUUUUGAGAUCCUAGAUAAGAUAGGCCAUGUAGCCUAUAGGUUGGCAUUGCCACCCAGUAUUGGAGACGUGCACAAUGUGUUUCAUGUCUCUCAGUUAAGAAAGUAUGUGUUUAAUCCAAAGCAUUUGCUUAAGCCAGAUAAAGUAGUCAUAGCCAGGACUAAAGUUAUGAAGAGAAACCAGUCCAGAUACUUGAUCGCAAGGUUCAAGUUUUAUGAGACAAUAAUAUUGUUCUCGUCAUGUAGUGGAACCAUCACAGGAUGGAAAAUGCCACAAAAGAAAUGAAUGAAAUGAAAGACUAGUAUCCCAAGCUAGAAUACCAGAUAUGUAAUUUCGAGGACGAAAUUUUUUUUAAGGAGGGAGGGAUGUAAUAUCCCGUUUCCUCGAGCUAAGUCUAGAAUAAUUUUUAAUUUAGAAUUUAUUUUAAACUUAGAAUUAAGAUGAUUCACGCCGGAUUGAGAAAAAAAUGAAUUUAUUUUAAUUCCAACAAAGACGAUUUACAAAAAUAUAUUUUGUAAAUUUAGUUAUUAAAUUUAUGUGCGUCGCAUAUUUAUUUAAUUUAGCAUUCAAGCAUUUUCAUGAGCUAUUUAUUUAAGCAAACACUGAACGAUUAUUACAGUUUUCAUAGUACAACCCGGAAGAUUUUUAUUUUAUUUUAUUUUACUCCACUACACCCACUACCCACUACACCUACUCCUACACAGCAAUACAUUCGUCCACUCCUCUCUGUCUGCCAUAUCUCAAUUAUUCUCGCAAGGAAGAAAUUCAAUGCACAUCUCUAUCUCCAGAAGUUCAACAACAUCAUAUUCACUAACCAUUCGUCUCUACACAGAACACUAUAAGGCUUUGUGACCAGGGGGAUUAGCGCUGCUUUCCCAAGACAGGUUUAUAUGUGAUUAUGAUCUUCAGGCUUUGCCUAUCCAGGUGGGCAUUACUUUCCAAAUGUACAAAGUAUGAUUGAGUUAUUAAGCUCUAAAUGUUUCAAUGAAAUGCAAAUUGUUUAUUUAAUGUAAUGAAAACUGUUUAUCCAAUAAAAUGUUUAUGUGCACUCUGCUCUGUUUAAGGCUCGCGCAGUUAAUCAAUUGAGGUUCUCUUAUGACCUAAUACGUUGUUUGAGAAUUGUGUACACUUGUUAGUUGACUCGGUGGGUUGAUCUCCAUCGGGCUCUAACCAGAGGCGUUAUAAGGGUGCUCGGCUGGAUGUGUUCCGGAGCAUGAGAAAUAUCAGGCCUGCCUGGGUAGCGUCCCGAGGUCAAAGUAAACUUGUCUGGGUUACGCCCUCAGUUCAAGUAAGCGGGAGACAGAGAUCCGUCGGUGGCUAAAAGGUCCGGGAUCACAGCGAGUAACAGAAAGGGAGUGUGACAUGUGCGCACAAAUGAAAGAAAAUAUUUUAACAUGCUUAGAAGCUAUUUCAAUUUAAAACCUUCUAAGACAUGUCAAGUAUGAUUGGAUAAACUGUCUUUACGAAAAUAUAAAAUGUUUCAGAAAAUGCAUGCCCACUAAGUACAUUAGUACUUAGCCCAAAAAUACUUUCAAAUGUUUUCAGGUUGGCUGGACGGUGCUGACGGGACGGAGCUGAGGCUAAAGAUAAAUUCCUAUGUUAGACUUCCGCUGUAGCAAUUACUCAUAUCCAUCUUUUGUUUUCCCAACUUAAGAUCUUCAUGUUAAAUUUCAAAUGAUAUAUUUGACCGAGCUUAGACUCUUCACUACUAAAUUUAUGCUAAUGAAUGUUGGUUGUCAGAAGCAUGAAACAAAACUUGUGAUCCAAAUGGGCAUAGCCCGACUUUCUAUCAUAUUUCGGGUUUUAACAAGGUUUUUCCCUUGUUUAUUUCUAUGAAUUAUUCA